AUUGAACGCUGGCGGCAUGCUUUACACAUGCAAGUCGGACGGCAGCACAGAGAAGCUUGCUUCUUGGGUGGCGAGUGGCGAACGGGUGAGUAACAUAUCGGAACGUACCGAGCAGUGGGGGAUAACUGAUCGAAAGAUUAGCUAAUACCGCAUAUAUUCUGAGGAAGAAAGCAGGGGACCAUUUGGCCUUGCGCUGUUUGAGCGGCCGAUAUCUGAUUAGCUAGUUGGUGGGGUAAAGGCCUACCAAGGCGACGAUCAGUAGCGGGUCUGAGAGGAUGAUCCGCCACACUGGGACUGAGACACGGCCCAGACUCCUACGGGAGGCAGCAGUGGGGAAUUUUGGACAAUGGGCGCAAGCCUGAUCCAGCCAUGCCGCGUGUCUGAAGAAGGCCUUCGGGUUGUAAAGGACUUUUGUCAGGGAAGAAAAGGGUGGGGUUAAUACUCCCUGUCUGAUGAACG
rnacentral:rRNA from 1 species